rnacentral:rRNA from 1 species
UCCAGACUCCUACGGGAGGCAGCAGUGGGGGAUAUUGCACAAUGGGGGGAACCCUGAUGCAGCGACGCCGCGUGGGUGAAGGAGCGUUUCGGCGCGUAAAGCCCUAUCGGCAGGGAAGAAGGAGGACGGUACCUGACUAAGAAGCCCCGGCUAACUACGUGCCAGCAGCCGCGGUAAUACGUAGGGGGCAAGCGUUAUCCGGAUUUACUGGGUGUAAAGGGGGCGCAGACGGCAGCGCAAGCCAGGAGUGAAAGCCCGGGGCCCAACCCCGGGACUGCUCUUGGAACUGCGCGGCUGGAGUGCAGGAGGGGCAGGCGGAAUUCCUGGUGUAGCGGUGAAAUGCGUAGAUAUCAGGAGGAACACCGGUGGCGAAGGCGGCCUGCUGGACUGCGACUGACGUUGAGGCCCGAAAGCGUGGGGAGCAAACAGGAUUAGAUACCCCCGUAGCA